rnacentral:rRNA from 1 species
UUUCUAUUAGAUAUAAUUAAUAGUAUAAUCUGCUCAAUGAAUAUUAAUAAAUAGUCGCAAUACGUGCUAAGGUAGUGUAAUAACUUGUCUUUUAAUUAAAGACCAAAUGAAAGAUUUAACAUUUUAACAAAUAUAAUAUUUAAUUUAUUGAAAUUAUUUUAAUUUUUAAAAAAAUAAUUUUUAAAUAAAAAGACGACAAGACCCUAUCGAACUUAACUUUAGUUUAACUGGGGUAGUUAGUUAAUUAAAACUUAAAAAAUAAUUUUUAUCAAUAAAGACCUAUUAAAAUUAAUUUUAAGAUCNAAGUUACCGUAGGGAUAACAGUGUAAUUAAAUUUUUAAGAACUUAUUUUAAUAGUAGAUUACAACCUCGAUGUUGAAUUAAUAAUCUAAUUUACGUAAUAGUAAAGAAAGAAAGUCUGUUCGACUUUUAAAUAAUUACAUGAUCUGA